rnacentral:rRNA from 1 species
AUUGAACGCUGGCGGUAGGCCUAACACAUGCAAGUCGAACGGCAGCACAGUAAGAGCUUGCUCUUACGGGUGGCGAGUGGCGGGCGAUUGAGAAAUACAUCGGAAUCUACUUUUUCGUGGGUGAUAACGUAGGGAAACUUACGCUAAUACCCCAUACGACCUACGUGUGGAAGCAUGGGAUCUUCGGCCAUUGCACGAGUGAAUGAGCCGAUGUCGGAUUAGCUAGUUGGCGGGGUAAAGGCCCACCAAGGCGACGAUCCGUAGCUGGUCUGAGAGGAUGAUCAGCCACACUGGAACUGAGACACGGUCCAGACUCCUACGGGAGGCAGCAGUGGGGAAUAUUGGACAAUGGGCGCAAGCCUGAUCCAGCCAUACCGCGUGGGUGAAGAAGGCCUUCGGGUUGUAAAGCCCUUUUGUUGGGAAAGAAAAGCAGCAGGUUAAUACCUCGCUGUUCUGACGGUACCAAAAGAAUAAGCACCGGCUAACUUCGUG